AGCGAACGCUGGCGGCAGGCCUAACACAUGCAAGUCGAACGGUAACAGGUCUUCGGAUGCUGACGAGUGGCGAACGGGUGAGUAAUACAUCGGAACGUGCCUAGUAGUGGGGGAUAACUACUCGAAAGAGUGGCUAAUACCGCAUGAGAUCUACGGAUGAAAGCAGGGGAUCGCAAGACCUUGUGCCACUAGAGCGGCCGAUGGCAGAUUAGGUAGUUGGUGGGAUAAAAGCUUACCAAGCCGACGAUCUGUAGCUGGUCUGAGAGGACGAUCAGCCACGCUGGGACUGAGACACGGCCCAGACUCCUACGGGAGGCAGCAGUGGGGAAUUUUGGACAAUGGGCGCAAGCCUGAUCCAGCAAUGCCGCGUGCAGGAUGAAGGCCUUCGGGUUGUAAACUGCUUUUGUACGGAACGAAAAGCCCUGGGUUAAUACCCUGGGGUCAUGACGGUACCGUAAGAAUAAGCACCGGCUAACUACGUGCCAGCCGCCGCAGUAAUAC
rnacentral:rRNA from 1 species